GUCUAUGGCCACACCACCCUGAACACAUCCAAUUUCAUCUGACCUUUGAAGUUAAGCAGGGUGAGGCCUGGUAAGUACUAGACUGGAAGACCACCUGGGAAUAUCUUGUGCUGUAAGCU
ensembl:rRNA 5S_rRNA 5S ribosomal RNA